AGAGUUUGAUCCUGGCUCAGAUUGAACGCUGGCGGAAUGCUUUACACAUGCAAGUCGAACGGCAGCACGGGGGCAACCCUGGUGGCGAGUGGCGAACGGGUGAGUAAUACAUCGGAACGUGCCCAGUCGUGGGGGAUAACUACGCGAAAGCGUAGCUAAUACCGCAUACGAUCUCUGGAUGAAAGCGGGGGACCGCAAGGCCUCGCGCGAUUGGAGCGGCCGAUGGCAGAUUAGGUAGUUGGUGGGGUAAAGGCCUACCAAGCCUGCGAUCUGUAGCUGGUCUGAGAGGACGACCAGCCACACUGGGACUGAGACACGGCCCAGACUCCUACGGGAGGCAGCAGUGGGGAAUUUUGGACAAUGGGCGCAAGCCUGAUCCAGCCAUUCCGCGUGCAGGAUGAAGGCCCUCGGGUUGUAAACUGCUUUUGGACGGAACGAAACGCGCCGGGCUAAUACCUCGGCGUAAUGACGGUACCGUCAGAAUAAGCACCGGCUAACUACGUGCCAGCAGCCGCGGUAAUACGUAGGGUGCAAGCGUUAAUCGGAAUUACUGGGCGUAAAGCGUGCGCAGGCGGUGAUGUAAGACAGAUGUGAAAUCCCCGGGCUCAACCUGGGAACUGCAUUUGUGACUGCAUCGCUGGAGUGCGGCAGAGGGGGAUGGAAUUCCGCGUGUAGCAGUGAAAUGCGUAGAUAUGCGGAGGAACACCGAUGGCGAAGGCAAUCCCCUGGGCCUGCACUGACGCUCAUGCACGAAAGCGUGGGGAGCAAACAGGAUUAGAUACCCCAGUAGUCC
rnacentral:rRNA from 1 species